rfam:Stegodyphus mimosarum contig99273, whole genome shotgun sequence.
GCCUUCGUGAUGUAGUGGUCUACAUGCUCGACGUGUAACUGAGAGGUCUGUGGUUCGAUUCCCGGUGAAGGCG